rnacentral:rRNA from 1 species
AAUAUUGCGCAAUGGGGGAAACCCUGACGCAGCAACGCCGCGUGAGCGACGAAGGCCUUCGGGUCGUAAAGCUCUGUCUAGAGGGAUGAAUUUUGACAGUACCUCUGGAGGAAGCCCCGGCUAACUACGUGCCAGCAGCCGCGGUAAUACGUAGGGGGCAAGCGUUGUCCGGAUUUACUGGGCGUAAAGGGCGCGUAGGCGGUAGUUUAAGUCAGAUGUGAAAGCCCACGGCUUAACCGUGGGACUGCAUUUGAAACUGGAGGGCUUGAGUGUCGGAGAGGGCAGUGGAAUUCCCAGUGUAGCGGUGGAAUGCGUAGAUAUUGGGAGGAACACCAGUGGCGAAGGCGACUGCCUGGACGAUAACUGACGCUGAGGCACGAAAGCUAGGGGAGCAAAC